CUCGGGUCUCAUUGAGAAUUUAACUACCACUUGAAACAUUCCAUCUUCAGGCAAUUCAGAAAAUUCUUUCUGGGCCCAAUGGAAAGAAAUUGUGGGAAUAUAUGAUGUCUUUGAGUUCUUUUAAAAUGACCAGAUCUGAAUGAGAAUAGCUGUUUAGAUAACUUUCUGGUCCUGAGAUUAUGAGAAUAAGAUACCAGUGGUUUCCAAUCUUUGGGCUGCAGACCAUAAGGAACCCAAGGAGUUGUUUCAGAGGGUUCAGGAAUCCGUAUGUGCUUCAAUAAUUGUAAGAAAUAUUGCCACUGUUAUCAUUUGAGAAGCAGGAUGAAGAGUCCAGUACAGAGUGGGUUGCAUGGAUCAUGAAGCUUAGGGGUGUUCUUUUUAUUGAGUGCUUGGCAUACGACGUGAGGAAGGGUAAAGGCAGAAAAUACAUCCCAUCAAUAAGAAGCUUCAGGUAUCUCACGAUAUCAAGAUGGGAGAAAAAUGAUAAUAACCCACUGGUUACACAUUCAGAAGAAAACCAGAUAGUUCAGUAAAAAAAUGCAUUUCCUGGAACUAGAAUUAACGUCAAAUGUCCUUUUUUUAAUGGAUUUUAUUUUCAACAAUGAAAAAGGCUUUUUGUUUGUUUCUGAUUAUAACAGUAAUGGGAUUAAUGGGGAAAAUGGUGGUAUAAUUGCACAUUUAUCCACGCCC
rnacentral:lncRNA from 1 species